rnacentral:rRNA from 1 species
AACUGAUUGAUGGUGCUUGCACCUGAUUGACGAUGGAUUACCAGUGAGUGGCGGACGGGUGAGUAACACGUAGGUAACCUGCCCCGGAGCGGGGGAUAACAUUUGGAAACAGAUGCUAAUACCGCAUAACAACAAAAGCCACAUGGAUUUUGUUUGAAAGAUGGCUUUGGCUAUCACUCUGGGAUGGACCUGCGGUGCAUUAGCUAGUUGGUAAGGUAACGGCUUACCAAGGCGAUGAUGCAUAGCCGAGUUGAGAGACUGAUCGGCCACAAUGGAACUGAGACACGGUCCAUACUCCUACGGGAGGCAGCAGUAGGGAAUCUUCCACAAUGGGCGCAAGCCUGAUGGAGCAACACCGCGUGAGUGAAGAAGGGUUUCGGCUCGUAAAGCUCUGUUGUUGGAGAAGAACGUGCGUGAGAGUAACUGUUCACGCAGUGACGGUAUCCAACCAGAAAGUCACGGCUAACUACGUGCC